rnacentral:lncRNA from 1 species
GAAGGGUUGAGUACAUGGUAUGUAAGUUGCAUUCAGGAAAGAACGAGUUCAAAUCUUUGAAGGCAAUUUUUGGGGUGUCUACAUUUUUAUAGACGAUUAGAUACAUCUACAAUCUUAUCCUGCACCCUACGUGCUAGAUCCCCUUUCCCAGCUCCCUUCAGAACUCGUCUCCGCAGUGCACCGUCGCUGGCGAUUUCCGGCGACGACACCUUUUUUUUUUUUCGAUUCUUCUUCUCUUUCCUCUUCUCCGUUGUUUACUCUUCCACCCUAUCUACAGCUUCCAGUGACACCGAGGAAGGAGAAAGUCAAGGAGAAGAACGACACAGACGAAGAAGCCAUUGAUGCUGAGAAUCACCGCGAUUCUCGACGAGGAUCGAAUCUCAUACACCACGCACAACCGAAAUCCCCUUCCCACUCGCGUCUCUUGUCCGCCUUCUCCAAAACUGUAACUUCUCUCUUCGACUUCCCGCGGCACCUCCCCCUCGCCGACAGAAUCGUCUUCGUCGUCUCAUGAGCGUGCCAUGCGCCUCAAUUUCUUGUACAUCACCCCCGCUGUCACCGUCCAGACCCAAUUUUCCGACCAAGUUCAUUUUACCGGAAAAUCUUCUAUGUAGACUAUCGUGUUUUUUCCUUUGCAAUUGGGCGCUUUAAAAAAGGGGGUUUUCCAGUGUGGAGCAUCAUCACUGAAAAAUUGUAGCACCAUCGCCGAUUCAUAAAACAGAAGAGGAAUGUAACUGAGAAGUUCUGGAUCCUUCGCGAGAAAGGAAAACGAUUAAAUUCUCAUUCUUUUUCUUAAUUUUUCCAAUUAUUUGCUUUCUCUGCUCUAGCAUUUGAUUCUAUUAUAUUGUGAAUUGUUCUUUGCUACUUCAAUUAUUUGUCCGGAAUGGAGAUUGAGGUUUUUGGGCUUGAAUGAAAGUGCAAGAUUUUUUUAACAAGUUUUAAAGUGUAAAGGUGGAGUUUUUUAAACACAGCAUCACCUGGGUGAUAUUCUCUGUUGAUGCAAAGGAAAAGCAGAAAAGUGGGAGAGGAGGGUCGUCGCCGUUGAAAACCGCUCUGGCAACGGUGAGUGACGAUAAUUUCCUUUUUGCUGGCAGGAAGCAGGGUGAACGGUGGAGAGGGGAAAAAUAAAAAGAAAAAGAAAAGGAAAAAAAUUAGUGCAGUGGGUCCACCUUAUUUCUGUGGGAAUGAGAUGAACCUAGAGUAAAUAAAGCUGGUCCACCAAAAGAUCACUUGUAUAAGUGCCUCACGCUAGGCGGUCAUUUUUGGGAGGGCCUCCUAGUCACAAUAGUUCCCAAUGUGUUUGUCUCACAAUAGAA